rfam:Gossypium arboreum cultivar AKA8401 contig_40302_1, whole genome shotgun sequence.
UGUUAAAAGUUUUAUCCAUUUCUAUUAUUAAAAAUUGGCAUGACUAACAAAAUAAUAAAAUAGUUAUAUAUGGCGUGCCACGUGCACCUUAUUCUAAUAUACAUAGACUAAUUUUUAAUAGUAGAAAUGAAUAGAUUUUUUAAAA